rnacentral:rRNA from 1 species
CAGUCGCCGCGGUAAUACGAAGGGUGCAAGCGUUAAUCGGAAUUACUGGGCGUAAAGCGUGCGUAGGCGGUUUGUUAAGUCUGCUGUGAAAUCCCCGGGCUCAACCUGGGAAUGGCAGUGGAUACUGGCAAGCUAGAGUGUGUCAGAGGAGGGUGGAAUUCCCGGUGUAGCGGUGAAAUGCGUAGAGAUGGGGAGGAACAUCAGUGGCGAAGGCGGCCAUCUGGGACAACACUGACGCUGAGGCACGAAAGCGUGGGGAGCAAACAGGAUUAGAGACCCCCGUAGUCCCUGUCUCUUAUAC